CUCUGAAAUAAAUGACGAGUGGGUAGGAGCUAAACGCUCUUUUUAGUCCUGCAAUUUGACGUUUACUUCACGUUCUGAGACUAGCCGUCACAUGUUGGUCAAAAGCGUCGUUUUUUGUAUCGGACGCUUCCUUUGAAGUAGCAGGCUAGCUAGCUGUUCCACAAUGUCGAAUCUUCACAAAUGCAACAUCAGAAGCUUUCCAUUUUUUUCCACGGCGCGAGAGCUGCAAUUUAAUUUUUGCUGUGGAGUCACUCUGCCGACUCAACCGCACUCAAGCGAGAGACUCUGCAUUUCUUCUGAUUCCCUAUAUGCUCCAUGCAAGUCUCCUGCUCAGUAUUCAUGAACAGGGUGAUGAAACCUGCAAACUGCUGAUCCGAACACUUCUGACAACUCUCCACGUGUACAUCUCUGCUGUAGAAAACUCGAUAUUACAAGAACAGGAGAUAAUGUCAGAGCCACUAAGGAGAUUUUUUUAAGGUUCAAACAUCCAGCUCACUCUGGGUGCGUUUGCAAUUGUCCCCAUUAUAGAAAAGACCUUAUUCUCUCCUGUCACCAGUAUAACCCUGUAUUGCAUCUAAAGCUUUAUAUCUUAUUUGGCAAAAGGACUUAAGUGUUUCAACUCAUUGUACAUUAUCAUCGUACAAAAUGUGGCCAACCAUGUGCUCAGGAAACCUUUUGAUGCUGCAGAUUGCUAGGAUGUCAACAAGUGCCCUCAAGGGACAUCAGCUCCUACUGUCUUUCCUUUAUUGUGAGACAGAGACACCUCUGUUUUCCACCUAGUUGAGGGCAACAUCAGCCACUGCCUUUGCAGUUUCCUGACACCCAUAUACAUUUGCUUUCUAAUUUCUAGGAUUUUGUAAACAAGUUGAGUUAUAAACAUAUGAUUUAAUUUCUGUGCUAUUUUAUAUGGCCUUGAAACUUUGAUUUGAGCUUGUCAGAACACCCAUCACAAGUUUUAAUGCUGUUUGGCUUUGUUAUUUUGUUAAAAAGAUGGGUGGUGUUGUACUGUGUGCUCACGUCAGACUUGUGGUGUAUUGUUUAAUUUGCAGUAAGUUUGAAAUCUUGAUUCACUGUUAUUUCACAGUGC
rnacentral:lncRNA from 1 species